rnacentral:lncRNA from 1 species
CGUGCAGGUCCGUUACAUAGGUAUACAUGUGCCAUGGUGGUUUGCUGAACCCAUCAACCCGUCAUCUUCAAAGAUAAGGCCUUCAGUAUAUCAAGAUCAGUGGAUCAAAGAAACAUCCUCAAGAAACUAAGAAACAACACAAGAUUCUCUCUGAUGAAAUGCUUAAGUAUAAGGAAAAUGAUGGAAGACACAGAAGAGCAGCAGAAUUGGGUAGAAGACUACUACAGAUGCCAGAUCGCCACUUCUGAAAGAAAGGCUUACGACAACUGGCUCUGUGUUUAAGCCUCGCAGAGGGAGAUGCAAGAGAAGAAGGCUGCCUACAAGCAGCACAGAUAGGAAAUGAUUGAAAAACAGAGAGUGCUGGAGAGACACAUUAGUCAGGAGCCAGCUAGUGGACAACCAGGCAUAGAGAAUCAUCCCCAAAGAGAUUCAGGACCUUAUUUGGUUCCCAUGAGGAACAGCAGCUGCAUCCCAACUGAGAGCACAGAGGAGAUAAAGGACCCAGAGUGCCUGCAUUUGCAGACAGACACAGUGGCAUGUGGUGACAGCAGGUUAUCCUCAUGGCUUCCCUUCACACCCCAGCUGUCCUCAGGACUCAGUAGAAGGGAGAUUUUUUGGCACUGACACUGCUAUUUUGAAAUCUGGAGGAAAGAAAGGUCAAUAUGGCUUUGGGAGGGCCCCUUUUUCAGGAUUGCCCUACUUGCUCUACUGCAUGGCUGGCUCUUCAGGACCAUUUGUGGGCUGCCAGACACCUCCUCUGCCUGGGUGGCCUCUGGGAACACGACCACUGCCUCCAUGCACACCACUUGGACAAGCUGAAAUUUGAAGAGGCCCCUGAGCUGUGACAGCCAUGCUGUGGCUCCUACAUAACUUGGAAAAGUAUCCAAUACAUUUUACGCUGCCUGCCCAGUGCUGCCUCAUCUGUCUCUAAUCUUCUGUAGUGUUUCCCCUAAUAAAGGUUUG